ensembl:lncRNA
CUCUAGUGAAAGUCCAUUUUUCCUGCUCCUUUUUGUUAAUCACAGGAUUCCAUUAUACUGACAAUAAUCUACAGUUAUUCGUAUCUGAACACUGAUCCCCAGUGAAGCCGGGAUGGAGUUAAAAUGCUUGGAAUUUGUUCUCUAUAGUGCUGCUUUUCAUGUUGAGCAAAAAUACAGCACUUAUAAUUUGUUCCCCUGUAGUAUUUGUCAUCUUUUUACCGCUCUCUUAAGAGUGUAAUUCCUGCCCAAUAUUUUCUUUUUAAACUACCUCUCAUUUAAAUACACGCUUUGUGUUUUCUUAAAAUAAACGCUGUCAUGCAGCUCUUCUACUUCCUUUAUUGAGAAAACAGUAAUACUCAUACGAUUGUGGAAAAAAAGUUGAGAGGGAGGGAGAGACAGGGAAAGGAAGCAGAAAUCAUAACCAAAAAGUUCACACUGAUUAUUGAAAUAGUCAGUGCUCCCUUGGGCUGUGGGGAAGGGAAAGGCACUUUUACAGUGUUUUGGAACAUUUUUCUUCCUCGGGAUUCUGACUUUUCACCACAUAUUUAUGCUACGUUGAGAGAGGAGAAGAAAAGAAAAAGAACUCAAAGGUUUUACAGUUUCGAAGCAAAUAAAGGGGAGAUGCUGUUGUGGCUGCAGAGGUGAGCUAUGGACAGCUGGUGGAAGAGAAUCAGGCCCCAUGGUAAAGAGGGAAAGGACGGAGCAGCUCUCUUGUCUGCCAGAAGAUGAACAUUGCAGUGGGCAUACCAUGGGGCCAGACCACCAGCAGAGCAUUAAACAAGGACAGAUGUGAAUGCCAGGAUAAAAAUGAAGACAUUCCUGAAGUGCUUACUGAAGCUGUUGAUGAUAGUAUUUCAGAACUUACAAGUUUUCCUGACCCAGCUUUGAGCAGUUUACAGUGUCAUCAUAUUUUCCAUCUGAAAAUCUAGGCAGAAGAGCAUGUUUACAAUAGUUCCGUUAGAAAUAGCUUGAGAAAGUCUUCAGUGGGAGAAACCCAAAAGAUGGGAUAUCCCACAGCUGUCAACAGGAGCACCCAGGAGCUGCAGUGAGGGUGUUGGACACUGUACAAAAGAGGGGCAGGUGGUCACUGAGGUUUGACUCAUUGAGUACUCCAGUGUGUUGGCCUGGGAGCAGGAGAAAGGAUGGAGGAUCUAAAGGCAUCCUGGUUACAGCAGCAGCAUGACUGAAUCAGCUUUAAUGACUGGCUGAAGCUAGCACUGUAUCUAUGCAUCCAGCGUGGGCUGCAACAAGAGUGACAAUUCAGGCAGAAGCUGGUUUGGGCUGAGUUUUAUGGUGUUGUGGCUAGCAAAGUAGCUAAGCUAGCUCACCAAUGCUCUCCCAAGUUAUUUUUUGUCUUAACAAUACAGGUAGGCCCAAGCAUGAUACCCUUCAGUGGUUCAAGAACUAUCUAAAAUAUUUAAACAUUUUGAGAUGUUCUUCUUCUGGAAGUGAAAGUAAAAAGAAGACUGGCUCUGGAAGCCUCGCAACAUUUGAAGUAAAUCACUCCUUAUGGCAGUAUCAAAAUCCAAAGAUGCAGGGAUUUUGAAGACUUAUCUAUGGAUUCAAUAAAAUCUAAAAGCAGAUGUUUAGUAACGUAUUUUUCCUAGAUCAUCAGUAGCAGUAUUUAGAGGCAUUGCAGAGCUUUGACCAUUGAAUUCCUCAUAGCGAGCUGCAACCUGCUGUAAGUACUGUUCUUGCAUUUUCCUAUCAAAAGAGAAAAUAUAAGACUAUUUUCAUUUCAUACAAGACUAUUAAUAUUGAAACCAUUGACUAGUAGACUACUCAAUUAAGGAUAUAUUAACUAGGAUACUUUAUCUCACUCUUAUUUUCAAGAGUCAACAAUCCAAGUACAAGGAGACUAAUGACUAAAAAUUCAGCCUCUUCUGAACAACUGAUGGAGUUCUGUUCCUGAGCUACCUCCUCCUCGAUUCAUUCAGCAUGAAUGGCAGAUUCCUAUAUCGUGUCAAGUUUCAGAUCACCAUAGAAACAAACUAGGAGGCAGUUUCAUUAAUCAUUUAGAGCACAAGAAGUCUAGGUCAGUCUGAUUGCAGCAUAUAGAGUAUCAUCCUAGCGCCACAUGGGACUCAGUUGAUUUGAAUUAAAAAAGAUUAAGCUGCCCCUAGGACGCUCAGCAUCAUCAGUUUAAGUUCUCAUGUAACAGUGGUCUCUGGAGCCACAUGGAUUAGGAGACUGAAGCUAUGCAUUUAUUUUUCAGGGCUCAGUGAAACAUUAGAUGAGUGCAGGUGUCUGAGGGGAAAAAAGGACAAAGAUCACAUAUAGUUUUUUAGACUUGUUGCUGUUCUUUUGAAACUGGAAACAAUAACUCAGUUUUAUUUCUUCAGUGACAGUUACCACUCUUUUUUGGCAAUGCAGUGGUACAUCUGUUACCCAAUGUUUACAACUUAGAUUUAUAACAAUUUCAUACUAGGCACCCUAAUUUUAGUGCAGAGCUGCAAGUUGGGCAUAGAACAGUUUACAUGAAUGCUGACUAUUUUUUUCAUGAUGGAGUAAAAAAUGCACAAAAUAAAUACUGGUGACACUUUAGUUUUACUUGAAUGAAGAUUUAUUGCUCCCAGGAAACUUACUUACAGGCAGCUACAAAUCAACUUGACUAUGAAAUAGCUGUAUAUGUACACCACAAAAUGAGCCCCCCCUCCCAAAGUACUCACCUUAUUUAUGGGUCUUUCCAGUACUUCAAAGACCUUUAGUAACUUAGUCCAGACUGGUUUAUUGCUUCAUAGAACUAAGACGUUUCAAGAGGAAAGUCGUAGGUUACAGUGUAUUAGGACUCUCUCUUGGGCGGCUGAGAAUCCCAUGAUGCUAUAUGAACUGUUGAUCUAAAGCUUAUUAUAGCCUCACUUCCUACAGUAUAAUUCUUAAAUCUUUUAAGUUAUACAGUGCUGUCUUUAAUCCUGAGCACUAAACCUUAAAGCAGAACUAGUUUUCUAAUAACCAGAGUACCAUCUGUGAGUAGAUAUAAUUAUGCUUUGUAAAAAUACAGUUCACUUGCUUGCACAGGUGGUCCACGACCUAUUUCAAAUUAUUUGAAUUUUCAAAAAAUGUUUUACAUAGAAAAAUCUGGGAGCGAAAUCCACUGUCCCAGUAUUCUUUGUGGAGGAAAAAAAUGUAUGUGGGUAGAUGUAUUCCACUUUACUCAAGAACCAGAACACCUCACCCUUUGUGUUUUUCCAAUUUGCCCUUUCUGUGCGAGUUAUCUGGGCUUUGAUAGUAUCAGUGUAUCAGUGGUGAAGUCUCCUGUUAUGUAACACAUCUAUGGACAUGGAAAUAUAGUAAAUACUUUUUUUUUUCCCCCCUGAUAUGUUGUCAUUUUUAAACGUGUUAUUCUAGGGAUUUCCGGGGAAGAAAUAACAUUAUGCUCUGGAAGUAUUUUUAGAUUUUUCUAGCACUGUGCAAACUGACUGAUUAUUCCCCUGGAAAGGGGAAAGUGAGUAUUAUCCCCACUUUGCACGAGCGGAAAUUGAUAUGGAGUCACACUAAGCAACUUGCCUCAGGCCAUGAAGGUAAACAGGGACCAACACUGUGGUGCUCCCAUUCUCCUGCCCCGUGCCCUGCCCAGGCCCUGCUAUUUACAGCUUGCUGUCAAAUGCCCUUAAGGAAAUGCAGAAUACAGGAAUUAAAGCAAACACAUAACAUUUUCUGCCUCCCAUCAGGGCUUUGUGUUAUCUAGUAUUUAUUGAGUGUCAGCAUUAUGCUGGUUGCUACACAAACAUAAAAGAAAGCGUGGUCCCUAUGCCAGAAUGUAUGUACGUUCUACUUUGUGUUGUCACCCAGAUGUUUCCAACCAGGCUGCCUAGCUUUGCUGUCCCUUUCUGGUGCAUGAGAGAGCUGAACUCACUAGUGCCAGGGGGGUAGCUGUGGCAGACAACCAGCAAUGGUGAGGGGGUCCAGGCUGUGCAUUUGCUGAGUUCCUGCAAACCACCUGGAUGAGUGACUGUCACCACACCCACAGGGAACUGGUCUUUGUAAAAAGAGCCAUGGGGCUGAAAAGCAGGGAAUGACUUCUUUGAGCUGAAUACAUGUCCUCACCCUCCUGGGGAGCAUGGGCAGACCUGUGAAGCCCCAUUUUUCUCCCAGGCUCCUUCCACCUGGAGGAGGAUGCAGUGAGUCUGCAAUGAUACACAAGUCCAUGUGGGAUCCCUGAUCUCUUCUGCUGCUCAAAGCCACAAGGGAGGAGAUAUCUUCUGCGUAGCCUGUUUCCAACAGGUGAUGUGCAUUUGGGCAGCCGUCAUGUCAUGCCUGGAAUGUGAUGAAAACAAGAGGUCCUGACUGCUCACUACUGAGGAGCUCCCAGAGCACUUCUCACAGGAGCAGGGGUGUUAACCCUGAUAUCCUGGUCAAAUUCCAACAAGGCUAAUUAUAUCCCACUUACCUAAAACUCUGCCAUGCUUUCCCUGCUUGCUGCAAGGUCUUGCUAUGUGAAACAGGCUCUCUUCUGAUCUUAUUAAACACUAUGGUCUUCCGCAUCAGAUGGGGAUAUAUUUAGGGGACUGCUAAAGUUAGGUCUCAGGUUGAUAUAUUUCUUGUCCAGCGCAGUAAUGCUGGACGUAAACCGACAUUGUUUGCAGAAAGAAGAGUCUGCAUUGCAAGUGUAGUUAAGAACAGCCACUUGCAAGCAAUGGUAAUGGCCAUAGUAACAGUAUCCAUUGAGUUCCUGUAUCCGGCCUUCUGCCUGAUGGAGAUUAAGAUCAGUGUGGGUGGGGGCUGAACACUGAACAAAAGUGUGGGGGAAGAGUGGCACAGGUGACUGUUCCCUGGCGGUGAGAUCAAGGUGCCCAAGGGGGAGGCAGAAGGGGCUGUGCUUCUUUCUGAGUCUGCUUCAAGUGCACUACACUAUAUUGAGGAUGCUUGUGACAGUGUAGCCAUUGAAGACCCUAUAGUAUGUGAAUUUCCUGAAGAUCUCAGGCCUAUGAAGUGGUACUAAGAGAUUAUUUUAGCUUUGCAAAGGUGCUGUGAUAUCAAGCAACGGGGAAAAAAAUAUGUGUUUAUAGUUUUGACUAAAGAGUAAAUUAUCAAAGAUGACAUUGAAGUUGCCAUAUUGCAUCUUAUUAUUUGUUUUUAAAGACUGUAGAUGUGGUGUGUAAUGCUGCUGAAAUGGCCACAUGAUAAUCCCAGUGAGGCUUUUUGCUUCUUGUUUAGAAAUAAAUAUUUCCAGGAGGAAAACGAAUCAUGUAAAUGCACCUCUUCCCCUUUAUCUACUGGAAUCUCAUCUAUCUCAUUAUCUUUUCGGUACAAGCUGCCACCAAAAUAUCUUCGAAAUGAACAGAUGUUACAGGUUUAGCUGGAAUUGCCCAAAGCAGAUGUAAGAGUGGAUACCAUUCUUACUGUUGUUUCUUAUCUCUUUGCCUGCAAAUCAAAGUUGCAUCUUUGUCUGCAAAGGUUCCUGUUGAUAUGUGAGUCAGCAAAGCCAUCUCCUUAUAGCUCACCUUGUAUGGCAGAGCCCUACAUUCACAGAUUUUCUUCUCCAUGAUACACAUGCAUGCGUAUGCACGCAAACACACACACACACACAUACACAUAUGUGUUUACACACAUAUUGUUAAGUUGUUGGUAGCACAGCGGUGCUGUUACCUAGUAGAAUUAUUUCAGAUUGCUUCAAAUUUUUAGUUGAAUAGAUGACAGUAGGAUAUGUAUUAGAUAAAUUAAAUGUGUUGGUGUUCACACAAGUAUAUGCACUUGAAGCUAUUUUUGUUUUUUGAAGACAGGUGCCUUUAGCACAACUAGCAACCUUCAAAAAUGUGAAUAAGGGCACAGAGUCUUAAAAGCCUCUUCCUGUCUACUGUGUCUCCCCAGACAGGCUGAGGCCACAUUAAUGGAAAAAGCACAAAGUGAACAAGAUGACCUAACAGAUGCUACCAGGAUGUACUGUACUUUUCCUAAGAUAAAUAAAGCCUGUCAUUUUCAGCAGUAUCAGCAAACCCCACAUAUUCUUUACAGUGUAAUAAAAUAUAGCAUUAUAGUGUUCCAAAUUGCUUUGUAAGUCCAUAUUCUUUUAACUAUUAUUGGUUCUCCUUAUUCUGUUUAACAUACUUAAAUAUUAAUUACAUGAGUAUGGCAUAAAAUAUCCAUCAAUCUAGCUCAUUUUCACUGUCUUAAAUGGGAGCUUAGAGUAAAAAAAAAAACAGCAUAUAAAGUAAACUCUGAACUAUUGCAAUUUAGAACCUCAGAUUUCAGACUUAUAAGCUGCUUUUAUUCAGCAGCAAAAUUACUCCAAAUGACUUUGAGUUUCUGUAAAAAAAAAGAAAAGAAAAAAAAAAAGAAAAAAACUGCAGCAACACUAAGGCACUCAAUUUCUGCAAGGACUCACAGAUUUAUCAUCUCAGAACUAUAAAAGAGCUGGGGAAAAGAAACUCUCCCUUCACUAAAGAUGAAUUUGUAUUUCUUUUUUUACUGUAGAUAGGUUUGUACAUCAGAUGAAUGAAUCUUAAAAUUUCUCUGAGGAGAGAAAGAUUUCUCUCAGGUUAACAGAUGCCACACCAGUUUGCUCAGACAUGUGCAGCACACAAAUUCUGGACAAAAUUUCUGACUAUUCUUGUUCCAGCAGAGCCAGUUUGCAGUUUCUCAAACCAAUCAGCAAAGCAGAAUUUUCCUACCCCUAGAGAUAGGUUUUGUUUUGAAAGAAAUCAUUCUUGCAAUGGAAGAUGGCUUUGCACCCAUCUUCCCUGCCUCUAUCUAGCCUUUCUGUCCUUGAAACCUUGUCCUUUCCACAGAAGCACAGAGCUAGUUGUAUAAACUGGCAGCUCAUAUCUAUCUCUGUGUCCACAUGGAAGUAGGUCAUUUUUUGCUUUUUCUUAAAGACUGUUGCUUUCAGCAGCAUUAUUUUUUUUACAAUCAGUAUAGUGCUGCCUCCAGCACCUUGUUUCUGGGAGUGACAAGCUGCCCUAAGCCUAAUAAAUGCUCAUAAUGAGUGGUUAUAGAAAAGUAGUUUCAAACAGGAGGUUCUUUCCAUAGCAAAGACUCAGCUCUGCAGCGUGUCCUGCACAGCCUGAGCUAUCCCAUAAUACUUGGACCAUCAUUAAGCCACUGAAUGUUACAAAGGACUGUUAGCCAGAGGAGCUCAUUGUUUCAUAUGAGUGCUUUUAUAUCAUUUUUUUUUUCCUGUCUAACAUAAUUGUGUUAUUAUUCUUAUGUAUUUCUAAUCCUAUUUGAAUCCUGUUCUGCUCUUGAUCAUUCCUGAUCUCACCUGGAAAAUGGGUAAUUGUCACUGUUUGUCUUACUAGCAAGAUAUUUAUCUAGGCUUUUCCAAUUAUCUGCUGAUAUUUCCCUUAUGUAAUGGGAAACAUGAAGUCAUCUGAUACCAAAGUUUGAGUAAAUCUAGUUCAUGUUGAAAUUGCCUCAAAUGGUACCAGUGACAAAAUCAAGAUCAUAGCAUGCAAUAUUCUGCUGAGAGUUUAAAACAGCAAUUUUGAAGAAGACAUCUACAUCCCAAGUUCUGGGUCAAGAAAUAGAGCUAUGUAUAUGCCAUUUGAAGCAUGAACCUCCACAGUGCAUUACGAUUCUUCCAUCUUGAUACAGGAUGCUACCUGAGCUGUUCUACUGUAUCAGAUGAAAAUCAAUAAGGAAUUGCAGAUCUAUAAAAGUAGACAUCUGAGUGGUAUAGAAGACUAUAACAUGGAACAUGGAUUCAUUUUCAGUUUUGUCAUGUUUCUCUUCUGUACUUCCAUAAUCAGAAAUGCAUUACUUCAACAGAAUGCUUAAAAAUUCAUACAUGUGACAUAAUGCUUCACUGAACUUUAAGAUGUCAGUUUGGAAAAAGAAAGAUGGAAAAUUUGGACUUCAUAUUUUAAACAGUUUCCUUACAAUAAACUUUUCUGGUCUGCUGAGUCUUGUCCCAAGUGGAAUUGGUGAGAUACAUCCUCAAGAGGACAGUUAGACUGUUGAAAACACUUGGAAAUAUCUCUUGGCUAUGUCUUAUUUAUAGAAGUCAACUGAGAGACAUGUGGUGUUCUGUCGUAUUGCUCUUCCAAGAGCCUCAUAUUUAUUAUUCUCAGUUGGCAAAAGUGUCCUUGUUUGAAGUUGUACAAGUUAAUCUCUGCCAGUUUAGCCCAAGAACACAAGAUCACUUUCAAACUGCUUUUCCAUAUUCCCGCUUUUAAAACAUCACAUUCAUCACGUGAUAUGUCUUCUUUUCUGUAGAUGUGUGACGUGCAAAGCAAUUUAAUGCAGCACAUAGCAUCUAUGACAUCAGAACCAUUCCCUGCCAGCACUUUAACAAGAUUCCAUUUUGCAUGUCCAGCUUCAGGACUUUCCGAGGGCUCUGUUGCUUUAAGAUACAGAAGACUGGUUCAGACCUUCACAAGAAGCUGUCAGCAGAGUUUGCAAUGUCCUGCAAGCCUUGAAUUGCAUGUAGGAUUUUGUAUUGGCUCAGUAUUACUUACAGUGUUUUGCUGUUUGUGAUUAGGUUUGCAGGAAGGCUGACUGCGGAGUUCUGAUCUGGAUUUCUCCAAAGUGUUUGGGUCUGUUCUGGGCUGCAGCAUGCUGUAGUCGGCAUUUGUUCAUAUAAACAUCUGUAAAACAUUUGGCAUUACUUGAAAAUAUUAGUCACAAUUGUAAAACUAAUAAAAAUCCUUCUUUCUUAUUUUAACUAUAAGGUGGUCAUAUAUGCUGGGCACUCGUCAUUGAUUUAGAUGUUAUCUCUCUGCUAGUAACAUUUUUGCUGUGCUUGCUCCAAAGGCUGCAUUUUUGAUCUGGGAGCAAUUCUCAGCUAAGAAAAUUCAUUCAACUGAAGCUCUGUGCCAGAACUUGGAGGACUUGCAGUUGAUUUACAUCCAGGUGCUCUAUACCAAUUUGUACCAAUUCUCAAACCUCUCUGACAAAAUCCACAGUAGAUUUUCAGCAUGCCCUAAUAAGCAGCACUUUCUUAUGCAAAGGGAGGCUCCUCAGAUGAUCACUCAGACUAUAAUAAAGAUGAGGACUUUGUACAGAUAUUUUAAACACUCUAAAUGAAAGGUAUUAGCAAAGUGUUGUGAAAUAAGGGCUUCACUAUAUGAAUUACUUACCUCUGAAAUGCAGUGUUAUUGUAGCAAAUUAACUAAAUCCAGAGGCACUUUCCCCUGCAGAUAUAUGCCUACAGUUGUGUCUAAAUGCAAUGCAGGAUGAAUAAAGUCCUGAGUGCCAUGUGGUAAAAAGCACUUUUCAUGUGGCAUAAGCACUUCAACCCAUGAAUUUGCAAUUAAAAUGAAUUUCAAGAGGCAUUUUACUGAGAUUACGUAAUGUAUUUGUUAAGUAUAUGCCAAAUAUUCACUGCUCAUUGGGCUUUCUGAGUCAGAAAAUUCUGUGUAUACUUUCCUUUACUAUGGACUAAAUAAGGAGCAACCACUUCUUAUCUGCUGCGGCUUGAAACAGAGUCAGAUAUUAUGAUUUGGCAACUUGUCAUGCUGAAACAACUCAGUCAUACAGCCACAGCCUGAGGGUGUAUACCGCCAUAACUGGAAUUUGCUGACAAAUUAUGAGAACACCCCUCAUAUGGACACCGCUCAUGCUUCAGACUAAAAUAUACAACACAAUUUAUAUAUGACAGCAUAUAUAUGACAUGCUUUUGCAUAGUCUUGCUACGUUUUCCAAAAUGUCUCAAUUUUCGGGUUACAGACUGUGACCCACUUCAAGUUCUUGCUGGGUAAAGCCAGAAGUUCUCUUUGUGUGUAUGUAAUCUUGUAAAAAUUGAUUCACAUUGGCCUGUUUCAACUUCAGAAGUCAGUCAGCAGGAAUGGCACCUCUAGUUCCCAGGAAGCAGAGAAGAGCUGAUGCUGUGUCCUUGAAAAUUUGCCCUGUAUGCCCAUCAGUGAUGGUGCGUGGCUGUGCUGAGCGCUUCAGUAACAGAGCUUUUUUCCCAAGUAUGGCUAUGAUGUCUUUGUUUAUAGAAUACUUUUCUAAACCAGGUUCAGCAUCAUGCCUACAAAAUUAGUAAUCACAUUUUUGGCAAGUAUUAGGUCAUACUAUCUGCAGAUUGUUCAUAGCUUGUUUAGGACUAAAUAAAAUUUGCUCUUUGUUCUGAGAUUAGUUUUCACUUCUACUUGGGCAGAGCUUCAGCUUUCUCAUUUAUCUGCCAAAUGUCACUUCACUGAGUCUAUCCUCCCACCCAAAAGAGGAAGCUCCUUCAAAGCUACAUUUGCUGGACUUGGAAAAUAACAUCUAAGGCUCCCUUAAAUAAUGACCAUAAAGAAUACUUCCGAGAUAGCAGACAUUAGUAUGAUGAUAUUAGUAUCAACCUCCGCUCUUUUGUUAUUCUUGUGUUUUGAAGAGCCUCAGGGAGGAUUGUAGGCACACCUUUUUCACUGGUGUCUUUUGUUGGCUGACCUGAAGGUAGAAGGUGCCCUAUCGGGCUAUAGUGAGUUUGUCUGGGGCUCUUCAUUCCAUCUGCUCUACUACUCUGCUAAGCGUUCCCAUUCCUCAAUAGAUGUGUACAAGCAGCACUCUGGGCUAGCUGUCACUCACUCGCUUUCUGAAUGCAGAGAAGAAAAGGAGCAAAUGAGGAGAGAACAGUGAGUGGGAAUCGUUUCCCUGCCUUCCUGCCCUUGUCAGGCACACAUUAAUUGUGACAGUGGUUUGAACAUCAAAGAAUGUAGACAUGAGAAGUAAAGAUGUGAGCCGACAGAAAGAGAGAAAGAGGAAAGAAUAGGUGUGGUGUUACAAGAGGAGGUGUGUGGUAGAUCUAAGGGCUUAACUUCCAUGAGGUAAUUAUAGAAGCAUAAACAAUAAAUCAGACUUUAUCUGGCAAACCUUUGACCAUACAAAAAAAGGAAGAUACAUCAGUGGGAUUAUAGGAUCUAGCUCUGUAAGGCAUGGGUUAUAGCCAUGCAGUUUUGGGCCCUCGGUUUCUCUUUGAGCAGCUUGAUAGCAAGGCAUGCAUCAAAACUGUUACUGAAAACAUGCUGUGGGUUUCUUGUAUCUUCAGCUGAAGGAGAAAGCUGUUACUGAUUACUGGCUACGCUGGUUGUAUUUCAGGGCUGGUCUUGUGUGGUGGUUUUCUUUUCAGCUCUGAAGUCAGUUAGCUGUGUGAUAACCUCCUUCUUCCCCACCAGGGAAGAUCUCCAAGAGUCCACUUCUGUGACAGAUCUGUGCAGUGGAAAGAACUAAGGUGGGAACAAAGGCUCUCCUUCUUUCCUUUUCCGCACCCCUAUCCCCUUCUCCUCCAUUUCUGCAGCACCAGAAUGAAAAUCAGGCUCCUUCACCCCUUCAUGCAUACUGCAAAAUCUGUAUCACCAUUGUCUAAUCAACAAAAUGAUUUGUAAAGAUUUCACUUUACCUUUGAUCUUGCAAAAUGAGAGUAGCUUUAAGAAAAGCCAGAUACUUUAAAGAUCACCACAUGGUUUUAAUAGCAUUUUCUACUUUGUUUCAUAACUUGAAUGAACAAGAUAUGAACAGUAUUCCUAUUGUCACCACAUUUCACUGUGUUAUCACGUUUGCUAAUAUUUCCUAGUUAAAAAAAAUUUGGCAGCUAUUAUGAAGCUGAUGUAACUUAAUAUCUGCUUCUAGCUCCAUCAGUAGAGCCUGUUCCAAAGCUUACUGAAGCUGCUAGAAACUUGCUCUCUGGCUUCAGUCAGUUUGAGAUCUGAAGUACAGAAAGGGAAAUGACAUGCUCGGAAGGUUUCCCACCUUUCAGAUCCCAUUUCUUUUCCCUCUUCAGCUAUGCAAAAGCUCUCACCACAUUGCAGAGCACAGUGUGGUUUGGAUGCUGUAUGCACAUAUGUGAACAUGAUGGGUUUAUGGGUGUAUUUUUGCUGACAAACUGAAAUCAUGGGAGAAAGAGAGAGGAAGUACUUUGUUUCAGAUUUGAAGUUACAUUUUUGAAUUGUAAAUAGAGUUUCUGAGAAGUUAAACAAAAAUAAAGAUGUUUUCAUUUCUUUGCCACUGAAAAUGCACAGAAUAAAAAUUGAGAGGAGGAGUGGAGAAAGAUGACAUCCUGGACUCUUCCGUUUUGUUUUCUCCCCAUUACUGCCAUGCUCCUUCACUUGCAUGACAGGGGUGAGUCUAAACUAGUGCACAGAUUGCUCUUCCACUUCAUAGCCAGGCAGCUGCUUCCUGCCCUGAUAACUAAUUUCAUUUAUUUCCUUUUCAGAAGACGGCCUGCCCUGGGUGGCAAUUACAGUUGGUUAAUUUUGGCACAAUGUGAAUAAAAGCAGAUUGAUAUAAAUCACUGAACAGUGUAGCUUAUGAAAAUGCAAGUUAAAGUAGCGCCCCAACCACAGUGCUGUCAUGAGAGAAGCUGAAAGCCAGAUGUUGGUCUAAUCAUGAUAGAAAUAAUCUAGUAGCAGACUUUAUCCUCUGGAGCUUGAAAGCCUUACCUAAUGGUUUUUGUCAGCCAGAUACCUCAGUGUUGCAAUACAUAUUGAAUGUUUUAGAGGAUCAGAAGUUGGUUUGUUUUCUUGGCUUAUAGAUGGAUAUUCUGGGAGUAGCUUUGUGUACACGAUCUGCGGGAGCCCCAGGUGAAAAGCACCUAGUAGGGGAUAAGAGACAUUCUGAGUAUCUAAGGUGUCCAAGUGUCUUGGACACUCAAAAUCUUACCUUAUUUUAAAGUAACCUAUGUGUGGUUGUGUCAUUAGAAUAAUGAACAAAUAAUGAGUGCUUCUGGAAUCACCAGAGGUAGAUAUAUGUGUGUACACUGAGUGUAAUUAAAACUGCAAACAGAUCCUUCCUGCAUCUCACUGCAUUUAUCAAGGAAAAACUACAUUAAUUGAAAAUAGUGCCUGUAAGUUAAAGUCUUUAUUUUUGGAUCAGCAGAGAUGUGAUAGGAUGAGUUCACCUUAAGUUAAAUGUGAAUGCCCCGAUUACAAGCUUGUUUCAGGCUCUGUAUGGCUUAAAAUGUGAGCCUGUUCUGGCUACUGUGCACCCAUAGGUGAACUCUGCAGGCUGAAGAAUAAGUGUGGGGGCUCCUGAGCCAGCAUCCUGCCCAACACUUUCAUCUGGCAUGCUGUCAUCUCCUCUGAGAGGCCCUGCAUGAUAUUGAGGUGACACAAGGUGCAGCUAGGGAGAGAUGAAGCUAUGGUCCACAAUGACACAGUUCAUAUGUACUAGCAGACACCAUGUGCUACUGCUAUCAGUUUUCAUACCAGAUUAUUCACUGGGCUCUGCAAUAAGAAAAUGAUAGAAAAGCCAUUAAUUUGUCUGGUGAUUAAGCUGGACAAGGAAACCCUAUAAAGACCAACAUCUGCUUUCUAAAAUAGAAUAGUCCGGAUGGAAGGGACCUACUAAGGUCAUCAAGUCCAGCUACUGUGGAUGGCAUAAAAACAUUUGGUUCAGGGACAAUUUAUGCCCUCCAAAAAUGUCUUUUUUCUAGGGACAAACCCUCCACUUCUUUCAAAGGUAUUUUGCACCUGGUAUGUGCAGUCUACAUUUUAUAACAUUUUUAACAAAAGAAAAAUGUAAGAAGAGGGAACUGCUUCUUUGUUUUGCUUGAGACUUGUGCCAGAACAAUCUCCAAGGAAUUGACAGUGCCCUGAUCAGAUAGAAAUAAAUUAUGGGGACACUAUUUUAUAUCCUUAUGUGUCUCUGUGCAAAUGCAUUUGGAGAUGGUGAUGUGAAUGUGAAAAAAUAACAUUUGUGGAGAUAUGGAAAUGAAGAGGGAGGAAAAAAGAGGAAAAGAGAAGGGGAGCAAGCUGCUGAGAGCACAGCCACUCGGCCAGCUACCUGCAUCAGACAGUGACCAAAGCCUCUGCCCAAGACAGUCUUUGUAUUCUAUGAUAUGAAUUUUCUUCAACAGUAGAGCACAAUUUUCCUGAACUCUCUUUUUCUUUUCCUACCAAAAAGGAUGUUUUGGAGAAUCUUUGCUGACUGUCACAUUGCAAUUACUGCAGUGCGGAUGGCAAAGUUUGUGGGAAGGAGCAAUACUGAAGAAGAGUUAAAAAUUAAGGCAACUUGUUUGGGUUUUUCGUUGUUGUUUUUAUAUAUAACAUAUGCAGAUCUGUUGAGGUUUUUUUUUUUCUUCAUUUUAAGAAAAGCUUCAAAAUUAGGAUAGAAAAAUGAUUUUUUUCUCAUUCCCAGUCUUUUGUUUUAAGCAUCUGUGCUUUGUUUUAAUCAUGGAUGUGCAUGAUCAAGAAAUUACACUGAGAUCUGCUCCCAUUCCAUGGAACACUCAGAGCAAAACCUCUAUGGUUCUUCAGAGUAACCUUCUCUUGCACUGGGCUUCACAUCAUAUACUACUUAAAUCUGAGCACACACACUUUCAGAGUCAAGGCUUUACAAGGUCUGGACUGUUUCUUUCUUUGAUGAAUAGUAUAUGGUGCCAAAAUUUGCCAGAUCCUGCCUGUACAAAACAGGGGCUUAGAAUUAACAUUGUAUGUGUUUAAUGGCAGAAAAAAAAACAGACUUGGUCUUCUGGUGGAAGGGAGUCUUAUGCACAACAGUAUCUCUGGAUUGUAUUUGUUGCUUUCACAGACAUAAUGACUUUUCCAUGUGUUUGCUGCUGCUGAAAUUGCCAUUAAAAGAACUACGUUGAUGGUAUCAAAUUCUUGUACUUUUGUGGUAACCUUGUUCAAACAAAGCAAGAAACUUCACGCUUUUUCAGAAGCUGUACCCUUGACACAAAGAGAUACGGAAAAAUAGAGAAAGGUGAUGAGCUAUUCUCAAAUCGAGAAUAUCUAAGCCAGUAACUUAAUGCUGGCUUAACACUGUUUUGUUUGUCCUUAUUCCCCUGUAAUCAGAGAAGACUGCAGAUUCCUAGAAAUCCAUCAGUAUGGCUCAUUGCUGGUAUGGCACAGUGGUGGCACUAUGCAAGAUUUCCAACAGUGCCAACCAUGUGUUGUGUGUCUGUUCAGCAGAAGCACUGGUGGGAUAGUAAAAUGCUUGCUUGAGUCAAGAUAAUGUCAGUUGCUUAUGCUCCUUAAAAAUCUACUGGUGCUAAGAAAAUGUUGCUCUAAUCAUCUGAACGUUGCUGCUUUGAAAAAGUAUGAAUAUGAAAUCCCACAUAUGUGAUAAUGAUUUUGAGAAAGCAAUGAUCACUGCAACUAAAGCAUUUGCAUCUGUUAAAAGCACAGCUUGCUCUUUCACUUGUGUCAAAGCUGCUGGCACAGAAUUCAAAGUACUGGAUUGGCAACUCUAUCAGGAAGCAAGUGCAGCACAAAGCCAUAAUAGCUGUCUUGGUUUGCUUUUGUUAUCUAAAAAAUUUCAAGUGCUUUGGAUAACAUAAGGUGCCAUAUAACUAUGGAAGUUGUUGGGCAGCAGCUUGACAGCCAUAUGCCUAUAUCUAUAAUGUAUGCACAGCCUCAUCUUUAACUACAUGUUUUCCUUUAGCAGCUGUGGCAACAGUGGUGAGUUCAAACAAUUCCCACACAGUGAAAAUGCAGCUGGAGGCAAUGGCUUCUCUGCUGAGGGCACAGAAGACACAAGCACUCCGGUCACUUAAAGACUUUCAGAGGGGCCAAAGCUACCUCAGCGCUUACUGUCUGAUCUAUGCCAACUGUGUUGCAAAGAUUCCCAUCCUAACAUUAACCAGCUCACUGUGAAGUCAUGCACAGUGCAGAAAGGCAGGGAUAUUGGAGGUCAGUUCAGCACCGUGGUGAAGCAGCACUCCUGCUCCUGGUGCUGGUGCUAAUGCAUGUGGGUCACCAGGGCUAUCUCUGCACUGCUGCCAGGGUUAAGCCAGUUCAUGGUUCUCUGCACCUGUGGAGUAAACCUUUUUUUUUUUCUGAAAACUCCUUUUUUGCCUUUCUCAGACAGUGAGCAUGGAAGAACUGAGACAGUAUGGGAGCAGCUGCAAAGGGUAUCCAAGCUCAGCUAGGAGAAGGUAUGUGUGGCUGGCCAUGAGGGUGAAGGAAAUUCAGGCAACUUUCUUUUGGAAAGGACAAGCAAAAUCUCUCCAUGUCAGAACUUUAGAGGUUUAUUUUGUAUGUUGCCUUGUGUUUCAUGUAAUAAAAUCCAGACCACAUACAGCACCAAAUCCUGCAGUUGUCAUUGUCUUAGAAGUCCUAUUCAAAGGUUAACUAACCACUAGGUGUUCCCCUGACAAAGAUAAAAUCUUUGUGUUCCAAACUUUCUGAAGAGUCUUUCAUUACAAUAAACAUCUCCUGCCCAGUAGCUGAGGCUUGUUGAGUAUAAAGAGCCUUUGUCAGGGAUGGAGCACAGCAGAGCUUCCUGAGGAUUUCUUUCCACUCUAAAACUGAGGUGGGUCUGUCCUCCCCACUCAUUUUAAUUUGUUCAUUUUUUCCUAGGAAACAAGUAUUGCUCUGGUUUUCAUUUUCCACAGGCUGCUUGAGUAUCUUGGAGUCUGGAGCUGAGGGGAAAGGAAAGGUUGUUAUCCUUAGUGGUGUUGCCUUUUAUCAUCAAUACUGGCUGCUAGUAUAGAAGAGUAGUAUACCAGCCAAGGGUAUAGCAGUCACUGCUACACAUGUAGACCAUGAGGACUGCUCAGCAACAGAGGCUGUGCAGGACUUGCGAUGUGUUCCCCACUUCUCUCUGAAAUACUUCAUAGUACAUCUGGAAUACAUGUUUUCACUUUUAAAAUCUGUCCUUUUACAAAUAAAAUAGUGUGGAAUCUGCCCAGAUAAUUCUCAUUGUAGCAGCACUAGUAUUGCUUCAUUGUUAAUCUCUUUCCAGCUGUGGCAAUUGUUACUCCUCUCCUCUCCUCUCCUCUCCUCUCCUCUCCUCUCC